CCGUACUUAGCCCUAAAAAAAAUAAAAUACAACUAUAAAUUAAAAUUAAACUAAAACAUUCACCACACAUAACAGUAUAGGAGAUAGAAAGUUUCACUAGGCGCUAUAGAGAAAGUACCGCAAGGGAAUAAUGAAAGAAUACACUAAAGCAAUAAACAGCAAAGCUUACCCCUUGUACCUUUUGCAUAAUGAUUUAACUAGACAUAACUUAGCAAAGAGAACUUAAGUUAAUACCCCCGAAACCAGACGAGCUACUUAUAAGCAGCUUUAUAGAGCAGACUCAUCUAUGUGGCAAAAUAGUGAGAAGACUAAUAAGUAGAGGUGAAAAGCCUAUCGAGCCUGGUGAUAGCUGGUUGUCCAACAAAGAAUUUUAGUUCUGACUUAAAUCUGCCUAUAAAAACUUUAAUUCUACUGCAGACUUAAGAUAUAAUCUAAAGGGGGACAGCCCUUAAGAUACAGGUAAAACCUUAACUAGAGAGUAAGCAUACAAAUACACCAUAGUGGGCCUAAAAGCAGCCAUCAAUAAAGAAAGCGUUCAAGCUCAACAACCAAACAAUCUCAAUUACUAUAAUUAACACCAACUCCUAGUAAUAAAAUUGGACUACUCUAUAUCUAUAUAGAAGAACUACUGUUAAUAUGAGUAACAAGAAUUUAAUUCUCCUAGCACAAGCGUAUACCAGAACGAAUACUCACUGGUAGUUAACGAACAUAAAGCAAACUUACCAACAAGUUCUUUUCCUAUUUACGUUAACCCAACACAGGAGUGCCUCAAGGAAAGAUUAAAAGGAGUAAAAGGAACUCGGCAAACACAAACCCCGCCUGUUUACCAAAAACAUCACCUCUAGCAUAACUAGUAUUAGAGGCACUGCCUGCCCAGUGACAUACGUUCAACGGCCGCGGUAUCCUGACCGUGCAAAGGUAGCAUAAUCACUUGUUCUCUAAAUAAGGACUUGUAUGAAUGGCCACACGAGGGUUUUACUGUCUCUUUCUCCCAAUCAGUGAAAUUGACCUCUCCGUGAAGAGGCGGAGAUAUCUUAAUAAGACGAGAAGACCCUAUGGAGCUUCAAUUAAUUAGCCUAAUAACAAAUCAACACACACCAAAAGGAAUAAAAUAGCACUACCACUAGGCUAACAAUUUAGGUUGGGGUGACCUCGGAGUACAAAAAACCCUCCGAGCAAUUUUAACUUAGACCCACCAGUCAAAGUGCAAACACCAAAUUGAUCCAUAUUAUAAUGAUCAACGGAACAAGUUACCCUAGGGAUAACAGCGCAAUCCUAUUCAAGAGUUCCUAUCGACAAUAGGGUUUACGACCUCGAUGUUGGAUCAGGACAUCCUGAUGGUGCAGCAGCUAUCAAUGGUUCGUUUGUUCAACGAUUAAAGUCCUACGUGAUCUGAGUUCAGACCGGAGUAAUCCAGGUCGGUUUCUAUCUAUUUUAUGUUUCUCCCAGUACGAAAGGACAAGAGAAACAGGGCCCCCUUAAAAUAAGCGCCCUCCAACAAACCAGAUGAUCUAAUCUCAAUCUGCUAUGUAAUAGAAUAUACUGCCCAAGACCAGGGGCU
rnacentral:rRNA from 1 species